ACGAAAAUUUAAAUUUGAAUUAUUUAUGUUAGGCAACCAUGUAUACAGCGCGCGAUGUCCAGCGCAUCAGGGUUGCACUUUUGACUAGCGCGGUACCUGCAUCCGCGUUGCGCGUCCGAUGCGCGUGCAGGAACCGGUUGCUUCAUUUUCGCUGCGUUCUUGCAAGUGUGAUGUGUAUCAAAACUGUUAGUUGUAUAAAUGUGAAUAUCAUUGUUUGCCAAGGCGGUCGAGCGGUCCCAGGGUGGCACGGUUCUACGCAGAAUUACCAGGUUAAAGCAGAGAUUGGGCGACAUCUAUUAUAAGAUACGCGAGAAUCAAGAAUAAUUUUGUGAAGAAAAUUAGAACAAAACAACGCAGCAAUUGACCUGCCUUAUCUUAUGUUCCAAUAUUCGAUAACGAGGUUCUUGGAGGUGAAGUCUUAAAAAGAUCAGAGCCCUUUUAAUAAAUGGGCUGUUAAAUUCAUUUUCGGAUUCGAGUCUACUUUGCCAUGGGAAACAAUUCUAAGGAGAGUAAAUUUGGCGUAAAUUGUUUGUAUUACUCCUUGCUCGUUGCUUUGCUAAUGCAGUUUUGUUUUCACCUCAGGUGGAUGUGGAACCGCGCCAUCUAUCAGCACGGGCCUACCGCAUUUAUUAUCCUAUAAAGUUUUGAUUGAAAAUCAUGGCGAUAAGCGUCUUUUGGUUUCUUCAGAACGCGCUAGGAUUUUCGGUCUUGUUUCAAGCUGGCAUUUCAUGGAUCUGGACGCAACGUCAAUAUCUUACCUUUUGUGGUACACAGAGUCCAGAAGAUUGGGAGAGAGCAUAAGAAUGAAGCUAAUCAACACCGUCAAACGUCGCCAUACCUUUUUCUGCUUUCAAUAUAAUUGGACCAAGAAACAGCGCAAAUCUUGUAUUUCAAAUUGAAUUUGGCUAAAAAAACUUAAAACUAUUGUUAUAAACAUAUUACGACUGUUAAAGGCAACACAAGACUUGUUUUCACAUUUGUGUUUUAAAUUUGAUUUUACUGAGCUAAACAGUUUUAAAAUAUGCUAAAUGCUCGUCCAAGGUUGUAAUUUAAAGAUGCACUUUUUCUGUUCUCAUUUUGAAACUUGUAAACUGUACAAAUUUUAUGUCGAAUAUUUUUCAUACCAAAUAUUUGGCCAUAGACUUGUUUUCAAUUUAGUUAGUUUAAAAAUCAAGACAAGUCUUGAAUUAAAUGUUUAAUGAUUGCAAAUACUUGAUAACCUGUCUGCUUUUAAUUUAAUUACAAGUCACAUUGUAUUGCAGUAGCAAUAGGGGUCGCUACGAAUGUUAAAUGUUAUUUGUCAUAUAUGAAAUUACGUUCUUAAUACUAUAUGAACAUACCAUAACUUGGUUAAAUACUUGUAAAUUCUAAUUUUACAUAGAUUUUAUUCAUUAUUAAGCAUGCUAGGGACGGAGAUUUCGUAUGCGCCCACGUUUAACAUUAAGUAAUUUUCAAAUUACAAGUCAAAACUUGUAACAUUCUUGAUUAAAUGGACAAACACGUGACAAGAUAUAAUUGAUUUAAAGAAAAGCACAAGACUUGCAUUUUAACUCUGUUGGGACAAAAUUAACUAAUAUUAUAUUACAUGUGCUCCAAUUGCAUUGAACGUUUUAUAAUCACAUUCUUUUCUAAACUUAAUUUUGCUGAAAAAGGCAAUGUAAGUUUUGCCUUCAAAAUUUAAUUUGGUUGGUAACGACAGCUCUAUAUUUAAUUCUGCAAAGAAAGGCAGCGCACAAUAUUUGUUAAAAAUUUAAUAUGGCAAAACGAAACAACGCAAGACUUGAUUUCUAAAUUUAAUUCGAAAACGACUGCCCAAGUUUUGUGUAUUAAAGUAAACUACGCCAAACAUUAACUGCGGCCAAACUUGCUGGAUUUGAUGGAGCACAGGGAAAUUUACAAUUUUUUUAUGAUUAAUGUAAUAAGUUGUAAUGCGGUUAUUAAUAUGUACCUACUUUGUGUUAUCUUUGUAGAACAUUGGGAAGCGGUGUAAACUGUGUAUUUUUGUGUUUGUAUGGUCCCGUCUAACAAUUUUUGUUAAUUUCUUUCUUCGUUUCUACGUAGUCUUGACUUAGAUUGUCUCUUUGACAUUCUUCUACAACUUUACAUAAUUAAUAUCUCCUAAAGUAGUACGUAAUUUGUUUGGAGGUGAUACAUAACGUCAUCGUGAUGAUGCAAAUGUGGCGAACCUACGCCGCUGGUUUUGAUUACCAAUUUUAACCCACUUGGAUGGAAUAAUAUUUAUAUUGUGAUACCUAUUUAAACUUUGCGAAACUACUAGGUAGGAUAGGAUUUUUAAUUUAUGUUAAUAAUUUAUGACAAAUAAGCAAAUUACAACAUUAUUAAUUAUUUAGGAUUAUUGGAACACAAGUAGGGCGUUACUCAAAUCAAAUUGAUUGAAUGAAAAUUGAAUGAAUCAAAAGUAAUAAAUACUACCCUGAUGUUUUUAA